rnacentral:rRNA from 1 species
AGUGGCGGACGGGUGAGUAACGCGUAAGAAUCUAACUUCAGGACGGGGACAACAGUGGGAAACGACUGCUAAUACCCGAUGUGCCGCGAGGUGAAACCUAAUUGGCCUGAAGAAGAGCUUGCGUCUGAUUAGCUAGUUGGUGGGGUAAGAGCCUACCAAGGCGACGAUCAGUAGCUGGUCUGAGAGGAUGAGCAGCCACACUGGGACUGAGACACGGCCCAGACUCCUACGGGAGGCAGCAGUGGGGAAUUUUCCGCAAUGGGCGAAAGCCUGACGGAGCAACGCCGCGUGAGGGAGGAAGGUCUUUGGAUUGUAAACCUCUUUUCUCAAGAAAGAAGUUCUGACGGUACUUGAGGAAUCAGCCUCGGCUAACUCCGUGCCAGCAGCCGCGGUAAUACGGGGGAGGCAAGCGUUAUCCGGAAUUAUUGGGCGUAAAGCGUCCGCAGGUGGUCAGCCAAGUCUGCUGUCAAAUCAGGUUGCUUAACGACCUAAAGGCGGUGGAAACUGGCAGACUAGAGAGCAGUAGGGGUAGCAGGAAUUCCCAGUGUAGCGGUGAAAUGCGUAGAGAUUGGGAAGAACAUCGGUGGCGAAAGCGUGCUACUGGGCUGUAUCUGACACUCAGGGACGAAAGCUAGGGGAGCGAAAGGGAUUAGAUACCCCUGUAGUCCUAGCCGUAAACGAUGGAUACUAGGCGUGGCUU